AUUGUGGUAGUGGGAGCGAGUGGUUGUGGUGGAUAAUAUGUUGUUUGAUGUUUUUAUUUGUUGUGUUAGUUGGGUGUGUUUGAAGAAUCUGGUAGUUUUGCUGUCUGAGUAAAUUGUAUUGAAAUGUUUUGAAAGUAAACUAAAGUGAAUAAGUACUGUGAAGGAAAUAUGUGUGAAUUCGUGGAAAGAAGAUCUAAAGUUUCGUACCUUUUGUAUCAGGGGCUUUCUAUUUAUUUUAUUGAUGUCUAUGGUUUCCCGAAAUAAGGUGAUCUAGCUCAAUAAGUGUGUUUAUGUAGAAGAAUAAAAUUUAAUGUUGUGCUAGUGGUGAUAUGUCAGUCGAACUUUAUAUAUCUGGUUGUUUCUGAAAUAAAUUUAAUUUAGCUUUUGCAGGUGCGGGCUGUAAGGUUAGAUUUUCAGGGGGAAGAGCUCCUGAAAUUGGUAGUAAAAGGACAUGUAAAGGAAAUGCAAAACUAGGCUUAGAAUCAGCCAUGUUAUCAUAGCGUUUUAGACGGUGCGGGAAGAAGAUGUGUUUUAAUAAUAUUUUACUUGCUGUUAGGGAAUUGUUGUUUGAAAUGGGGUUGUAUGAGGAAUAGUGAUUGUAUUAGUAGAGGAAGUUUAUGUUAGUUUAUAUUAUCAGGAUAAGAUGAAGUGUUUUAGUUGUGUCUUGGUGUGUUUAAGGAACUCGACAAAUGUUAUAUUCACCUGUUUAUCAAAAACAUGUCUAUUUGGAUCAUUUUUUUAGUCUGGCCUGCCCGCUGGGUUGUUGAAGGGCCGCGGUAUUUGGACCGUGCUAAGGUAGCAUAAUCAAUAGUCUUUUAAUUGGAGUCUGGAAUGAAUGGUCGGAUGAAAUAUAGUUUGUCUGCGAGCAUGGCAUUGAAUUUUACUUUUGAGUGAAAAGGCUUAAAUUGGGUAGGGGGACGAUAAGACCCUGUGAAGCUUUACUUUUAUUAAGUUUUAGUAUCUAAUAUUUGUGUGUUUGGGUUUGGAUUUAAUAAAUGUUGGGUUGGGGCGACUGGGAUAUAUUUUUAACUGUUUCUGUUAGUGAAAUAAAUGAUUUUUAGUGGGCUGAUCUUGUAUUAUGGAUUAGAAGAUUUAAGUUACUCCAGGGAUAACAGCGUAAUUCUUCUUGAGAGUUCUUAUCGACAGAAGUAUUUGCGACCUCGAUGUUGAAUUAAGAUUUCAGCAAGGUGUAGUGGUCUUGUUUGUAGGUCUGUUCGACCUUUAAAAUCUUACAUGAUUUGAGUUCAGACCGGCGUGAGCCAGGUUAGUUUCUAUCUUUUGCUUUUUGUAGAACCAUUUUAGUACGAAAGGAGUAAGUGGUUGGAAUAUUUUUGAUGUUUAGAUUUACUUUAAUUACUUU
rnacentral:rRNA from 1 species